AUUGAACGCUGGCGGCAUGCCUUACACAUGCAAGUCGAACGGCAGCACGGGUGCUUGCACCUGGUGGCGAGUGGCGAACGGGUGAGUAAUACAUCGGAACGUACCUUAUCGUGGGGGAUAACGCAGCGAAAGCUGUGCUAAUCCCGCAUACGCCCUGAGGGGGAAAGCGGGGGAUCGCAAGACCUCGCGCGAUUAGAGCGGCCGAUGCCUGAUUAGCUUGUUGGUGGGGUAAAAGCCCACCAAGGCGACGAUCAGUAGCUGUACUGAGAGGACGAUCAGACAAACUGGUGCUGAGAGACGGCCCAGACUCCUACGGGAGGCAGCAGUGGGGAAUUUUGGACAAUGGGGCAAAACCUGCUCCAGCAAUGCGGCGUGAGUGAAGAAGGCCUUCGGGUUGUAAAGCUCUUUUGUCAGGGAAGAAACACCGGCUCUAACACAGUCCGGGAAUGACGGUACCUGAAGAAUAGGCACCGGCUAACUACGUGCCAGCCGCCGCUGUAA
rnacentral:rRNA from 1 species